rnacentral:rRNA from 2 species
AGAGUUUGAUCCUGGCUCAGGAUGAACGCUGACAGAAUGCUUAACACAUGCAAGUCUACUUGAUCCUUCGGGUGAUGGUGGCGGACGGGUGAGUAACGCGUAAAGAACUUGCCCUGCAGUCUGGGACAACAUUUGGAAACGAAUGCUAAUACCGGAUAUUAUGUGAGUUUCGCAUGAAAUUCAUAUGAAAGCUAUAUGCGCUGCAGGAGAGCUUUGCGUCCUAUUAGCUAGUUGGUGAGGUAACGGCUCACCAAGGCGAUGAUAGGUAGCCGGCCUGAGAGGGUGAACGGCCACAAGGGGACUGAGACACGGCCCUUACUCCUACGGGAGGCAGCAGUGGGGAAUAUUGGACAAUGGACCAAAAGUCUGAUCCAGCAAUUCUGUGUGCACGAUGAAGUUUUUCGGAAUGUAAAGUGCUUUCAGUUGGGACGAAGUAAGUGACGGUACCAACAGAAGAAGCGACGGCUAAAUACGUGCCAGCAGCCGCGGUAAUACGUAUGUCGCAAGCGUUAUCCGGAUUUAUUGGGCGUAAAGCGCGUCUAGGCGGUUUGGUAAGUCUGAUGUGAAAAUGCGGGGCUCAACUCCGUAUUGCGUUGGAAACUGCCAAACUAGAGUACUGGAGAGGUGGGCGGAACUACAAGUGUAGAGGUGAAAUUCGUAGAUAUUUGUAGGAAUGCCGAUGGGGAAGCCAGCCCACUGGACAGAUACUGACGCUAAAGCGCGAAAGCGUGGGUAGCAAACAGGAUUAGAUACCCUGGUAGUCCACGCCGUAAACGAUGAUUACUAGGUGUUGGUGGGUAUGACCCAUCGGUGCCGCAGCAAACGCAAUAAGUAAUCCACCUGGGGAGUACGUUCGCAAGAAUGAAACUCAAAGGAAUUGACGGGGACCC